AUGGACAGAAAUCCUGACAAUUGUGGAGACCAGGAUCCCAAGUCAUGUACUGAAGCUUGUUUGCCAAAAUGGUCAAUGGACAGGAAUCCUGACACCUGUGUACACCAGGAUCCCAAGUCAUGUACUGAAGCUUGUUUGCCAAAAUGGUCGAUGGACAGAAAUCCUGACACUUGUGGAAGGCCGACAACUAUCAUCCCUUACUUUGGCCAACAACAUUCUCAAGCCUUCAGGACUAACCCACUUGAUGCCGGGAUCCCAUUGCUUGUACUGAAGAUAGCUCUCCGAACAGAUCAACGAACAGAAAUUUGGACACACGUAUCGCACUGGUUGGUCCUUGUCUCCAGGAUUAAACCCUUCUCUUCUCCACAGUGA
rnacentral:rRNA from 1 species